GCCAGCAGCCAUAUCACCCUGCAACUCACAACUGGCAGCCCACUGAAGCUAAGCAGGUGUGAGCCUGGUCAGUACCUGGAUGGGAGACCUGGGAAAAAGGUUGCUGCUGGAA
rnacentral:rRNA from 1 species